AACGCGAAGAACCUUACCAGGGCUUGACAUCUGGCGAACGCCUUUGAAAGAAGGAAGUGCCCGCAAGGGAGCGCCAAGACAGGUGGUGCAUGGCUGUCGUCAGCUCGUGCCGUGAGGUGUUGGGUUAAGUCCCGCAACGAGCGCAACCCUUGUCGUUAGUUGUCAUCAGGUCAAGCUGGACCCUUUAACGAGACUGCCGGGGACGACCCGGAGGAAGGUGAGGACGACGUCAAGUCAUCAUGCCCCUUAUGCCCUGGGCUACACACGUACUACAAUGGUCGGGACAGAGCGCCGCAAGACAGCAAUGUGGAGCGAAUCGCACAAACCCGGCCUCAGUUCAGAUUGCAGGCUGCAACUCGCCUGCAUGAAGGAGGAAUCGCUAGUAAACGCCGAUCAGCAUGCGGCGUUGAAUACGUUCCCGGGCCUUGUACACACCGAGACGAC
rnacentral:rRNA from 1 species